CGAGUUAUCGUCUAGCGGUAGGACCGCGGACUCUGACUCCGCUAACCGUGGUUCGAAUCCACGUCCCCCAGCCA
rnacentral:tRNA from 1 species